UUGGUCUACUUUGGUUCUCGCUGAUGUAGGAAAGUUGAAAUGAACGUCUUCAACGUUUAUUUGAAAGGUCACAUUCCUUUUUCCUUUCCCAAUAUUGUUUGUACUCGUACAUGCGGUUUAUCGAGGAAAGUAAAUAGAAGCCAAAAAGCAAGUUGAUCAACAGGAUGGUUAAAUGGUGAUUUUGUAAUUAAAGGCUUUAGGGCCGGCCCGUGCUGCUUGCGCUGAUUACAGGCUUGAAUUUCGGAUAUAUUUACUGCGCAUAAUUGAUUCGCAUUCAUGAUUCAGCGAUAAGGACACGAACUUUGUUUCUUCAUUAUGAUUAUGUCUUGGCCACUUACUCACAGUACAGUACAGCGCAAAGUGGUAUAUGUUGUUACUUCAUCUUGCUGCCGAACAAAUUCGGGCGUCUACGAAACGGCAGUCGAGAUUCGCCGUGAUACCCGCGAUUAAUCAUCGGGGUUCCCUGAUACACGCUUAAAGGUUGUCGGCGAAAGGGGAAGAGAAACGGUAGCCAACUCGGCCGGUCGGCCCAACCGACCAUCCGUACCGCGGCGCCAUUUUUUUGCGCCAUCCGUUAUAAUUGCCAGGGCCUUGUCACUUUUGCCGUGGCGUAGGCCCCGCAGUGAGGUACCUGGUGUGUGCGUUGCCUCGUGCCCGCUCUCUUGCACCGUGGCGGCUUCCUCAAAGCGACCAGGGGGACGAGGGAACGGACGGGUUACGAGCGGAGGACGAAGGACCAGAAACGAGGUGCACAAUGCCGACUGUCCUCGUAACUGCGGAUCUUCCUCUCGUCUCGGCGAAUCGCUUCAAACGAGACGCCGACGUACGCAACGCGCAAUGUUACAUUUUUUUUUAUUUCGCUCAGAUAAGAUUCCGGAAAGAUUCAUCUUGGCAGUAAACGUUGCAUGAAUUUAAAUUUAAAUUUCCUAAUAUUUAUCUCAAAAUAUCAUUCAAAUUAUUCAAAUAUAUUUUAGAAAAAAGUAUCGAAUUUAAUAGAUUGAACAACAUUCAGUUGUAUAUUCUUAUUGUUGGUUUAAUAUUUUUGCCAAUAAGUUCUUGGCGUAAACAACAUUUGUACUUAAUAUUUAACUGCGAAUUAAUUUUUGAUGUUACAACGGUGCUUUCGUUUCCUUUACGAAGAGGGUAACGCAUAAAAUUUAAAGGCGAUCGGUCGGCUAAGUGCCGGUAAAAACUCGUGCCUCGCCUGCGUAUUUUACGCCACUUUCUUGCGUGUACGCACGCGUGUAGGUAUCUUUCGAUUCUCUCUCGCUCUCUCUUUCUCUCUCUUCUGUUUUCAGGCCUCUCUUCAAGGACUGCUACCGCACGGAUGACCCACGACAGAGAAAGCCCGACGAGAGAAGUCCGAACGAUCGUAACACGGUAGCCAGCACGGCGACGAAAUUCCCCACAUACAAAAUAACCCGAUCAUCUUACCUCGGGGACGCCGGAUGAAAAAGGAUUUGUAGAAGCCUACUGCAAUGAAAAGAUUAGCACUAAUCCUGACUGUUGAGAAACUGGCUAAAACGGAUGUUUCACGUGUGAAACCUUUGUUAAGUACUUUUAAAAUUAUUAUUAUAGACAAUAUUAUUAUUAUUCAUUAUAUGUAAACAAAAUUUUUAAUUAUUGAGCCUGCAUCGUCGAUGGGCUCGGUAAAGUAUACUUGAAAUCAAAAUUUAAAAAACUUAUAGGUCUGAAACAACUUGAUAAAUUUUGCGCGAAUUUUACAAUCAAAAAGAUGGUGCGAGCUAAUCAGCUAAAAAUACUAUAAUCAGUUACUCAAUUCGAUAGACAUCUAUCAUCAUCGUUGAAAUAAAAUUUUCUGCUCGAUUUGAAACCUAAAUUAGGCCAGCGAAAAAAGUCUGUAUUGGGAACACUGUAAUCAGUGACUCUUUCUAUCCCCAAAAAAAAUUACCUGAGUUUCUUUAACUCGCUCGAUGAAAUCUAUUGUAUGAAAAUAAAAAGGACACGUUUAUUUGUAGCCUCAAAGCUUCGUGAAAGAUUUGAUAGAAUGUUGUUUUCAUGGAUUAUGGUAGUAAGAUAAAUUGCUCGGUAUAAAUAUAACAGCAGAAAUGGGGCUCAUAUCAACUCGCGUAAAAAGUUGCCUUCACCGAAAUUACACCGGUAUCGGCUCCCGGUUACCAGUGUACAGAAGCAUCGGGCCCAUCUAUCGACAGAGAGGGAAGGGAGAAGGCAAGAUGAAAGACGGAGCGUAUGAGAUAAAGUGGUCUCGUGAAACGUUACGAAACAACGUGGGCAGCGCCAGUAGAAAAUGGCGUGGGCCGUGACUGUCCGAGACCAGGUGGAACGUGUUUGUACAAGAUACGGACUGAUAAGCCAUCAGCGAGGCUCAAACGAGAGGGUACAAGCACGGUAUGUGGUCACCGCUUAAAGUCAGAUCAGGGAAAAUGCAUCCAUUAUGAUACAUAAGAGGACUGUGUAUCUCGGCGCACAAAAGAGGACACGCGAAAAAAGAUGAAGUACAACAAGGAUAAAAAGCGGCCCCUGCUGAUUGCGCAAAAAUUGGAAAAAGACGUUAGACCGAGGGCAGCGAGGAGUAAAUACCUGUAUGCCGAGAGGAGAGCGGCAUAAAGAAACCUGCUGUUUAUGAACUAUACAUGCCUCAUACACACCAGCUGUAAAUUACCACAUGUCCGCAAGCGUAAUGCUCGCUUUUACUAUUUCGAAGACGGCGAAGAACCUGAUGUUAGGCACCUUUGCAUGGAUUGUAUGGAAACGAGCGUGAAACGCUAUUGAGAAUAAUAUGAAAGAAUUGCGUGAAAUUAUCAAGAUAUAGUGUAUACACACAACACGACGCAACGAUCUUUGCUCAUCGUCGAUUAAUGAUACAUCCCUGGACCAGCGAAGAGCAGGAGAGGCGAAGAAGAGAGGACGAAAAAAAAAGGCAGAACUGGCAAAAGAGGCAAAACCGCGCACGUUGUGUUGCUCUCUCCUUCUGACUCCUACGUUAUCCUCGUCCAUCCUGUUCUUCUCAUCGUAUGCUGUGCUCGGCGUCGCUUCUACCGUACGAUGCGGUAAUGUACAGUACAGUAAGACAUAGUACGAUAGCGUGCGCAACCACUUUUCUCGCGUGCAAGCGCAGUCAUAGCAAUGGGACGAAGUAUUUUAUAGCAUCUUUCCGGAACUUGUCAUUAGAUCCCUAACAAUCUACGAAAAAACCUUACAUUUAUUUCAUCCACCGACUACAUGUUAAUAAUUUCCUUAACAAAUUAUUUUGUUCUCAAUUCCUUUACACUUGGGAUGAUUUCUGUCGUUUUAGUUUGUGAAAUAUUUAGAAGCAUUUAACGUAUCAGAGCGAAUUAAUCUUAAAAAAAAUUUAAAAUAUUUGAACGCUAAGUUGUUUUGUAAACACCUCGAUCAAUCCCAUCACUAUGGCGUUGGCGUGUCCUGCCGUAGCGCAGAUAUAGCGAUGCGCCGAGUAAAGCUGAUAACCAGCGGAUGUCAAGGUCCCCCUCCGACGAAAGCUCAGGCUGUUUUGUCAACGGUUCGCGCGCAUUUACUAAUCCGUGCCAAUCUAUGCGCUGUCACCUGCAAACACGGCUAAUUCUCAAUUUGUUAGAUGUGCGUUUUGCGUUAAUCAAAAUCUCAUUAGAAGCGGCAAGCAAUUUUUUGUUUAGCUAAGACUUGUUUAUCGUAUGUAUCAAGUCAUUGCUUGCGUUAACGAUUUUAAGCAUAGUGUUAAGAAAAAGCGAGUACAACUGUAUAAGUUAAUAGAAUACAUAGAAUACAGACGAAA